GGAAACACACACAUAAAUACAUAUAAAACAUGUAUUUUUAGAUUUUCUCGAAAUCCGUGCGUCAAACUCAAAAUCCGUCAGCGCCAUUAGUUCCAGAACAACUGAACCGGUCGAAACGAGCUAUUGGACUGCUAUGAACAGAGUCCGGUACGAGCCAGAAGCCAACUUCUCACCGCGGCUCUCCGGAAAAUCGAGUUACUAUUCACUUUAAGUGAAACUUGAAAAUCGCGUAGAAUUUCCGUUUUAACUCGUUUUCGCCCGAAACUUGACGAGUGCUUUUGUAAUUAAAUUACACACAAAAGCAUCGUCAACUGAGAGUUUAGCUACACUGCAAAAAUCUCAGUCCUUACAAUGUU
rnacentral:lncRNA from 1 species